GCUUUUAAAGGAAAACAGCCUUCCCCUGGUCUUAGGCUCCAGUACCUCUUGGUGCAAAUCCAAGUAAAAGCU
rnacentral:tRNA from 1 species